AAACGACUCUCGGCAACGGAUAUCUCGGCUCACGCAUCGAUGAAGAACGUAGCAAAAUGCGAUACUUGGUGUGAAUUGCAGAAUCCCGUGAACCAUCGAGUUUUUGAAGGCAAGUUGCGCCGGAAGCCAUCCGGUUGAGGGCACGCUUGCUUGGGCGUCACG
rnacentral:rRNA from 1 species